UUCCUUAAAAAACAAUAUAGAUGGCGAUACAUCUACAAGAAAGUCCCUCAUUACUAGCAACAAUAAGUGACUUCCCAGGCUACAGUUACCAAAAACAAUAUAGAUGGCUUUGUACAGCUUUAACAUGAUUACCUAUUUUCUCAUUACUUGAGUGUAGCCUAAAAAGUCCAUCAUUUGAAACUCCAAGAACCAAAUAUUUGAACUAAUGUUCCACAGAACAUACCUAGUAUUGUGUUUUAGCAGCACCAAGGGCAAACAUGAAAUGCCAAGUAAAUCAAGUGACAUUAUUGUAAUAUUACAAUAGACGCCCAAUAACAGAAAUGAUAUGCAGUGCAUUAUUUAUUAUAAAGUAGUUAGAUAAUUAAUGUGUAACAUCCCACUAAUUUGGCAUGAAUUUAGCCCACAGGUAUAGGUUUCCAAAAGUAAUGAUAAUAAAUCAAAAAUAAUAAUUGUAAUUUAUGUGACAAAUUGUAUUUAAAUUUAUUAACCUCUCAUCUGCCGAGAUACCAGACACAAUAGAUUUUACAUUGUGUCUGGUCGAGAUCCGCGUUCCGGCAGAUGAGAGGUUAAUCAUAACAUUGUUCUUCUUUUAUCAAUACUAUGCAUUUCUCUACUAACCCAGUUUUGGUAAUUUUACUGCUUUAAUAUAACAAGCAUACAUCAUUCUCUAGAUAAACUCAUUUCUCUAGGUAACAAAGUUAAAACAUUUUUAUUGGCUGAAUAGUAUAAUAAAUAUAGAGGAACAAUGUUGAUCAUAAUCACUUGAUAAUAAUGCUGGGAGCAGCAAAUAAAAAUUUAGAACAAUGUCUGUGUCCUGAUAUAUUUUUUUUAAACAAAUCCAACAGAUUACUUGAUUGCAGGAUUGGA